rnacentral:tRNA from 1 species
UGGGUCCAUAGCUCAGUGGUAGAGCAAUUGACUGCAGAUCAAUAGGUCACCGGUUCGAACCCGGUUGGGCCCUUUUUGUUGUUUUUGAUUGACUUUUCUUUUCUCUUUGUAUUAUUUUUUAGAAAUAAUCAUUUUAUUUAGUCAGUCAACAACAAUGGGUCCAUAGCUCAGUGGUAGAGCAAUUGACUGCAGAUCAAUAGGUCACCGGUUCGAACCCGGUUGGGCCCUCUUGUAAUUUUUUCAUUAAUUACGCUUAUUUUAUUUUUCUUUGUAGAGCAUUAUUUUGAAGUAAUUAUUUUAUUAUUCAUUUAACAACAAUGGGUCCAUAGCUCAGUGGUAGAGCAAUUGACUGCAGAUCAAUAGGUCACCGGUUCGAACCCGGUUGGGCCCUUAUCC